AUGAAGCGAGUCCAUGAGAGGGUCCCAGCCACAGCAGCUGAGAGGAGUUUUACAUCUCAACAUGGCAAUGUGAAGAAAGGAAAAAAAAAUUGUUAUAAGAUUCUAACCAAUUUCAGUCUCUUGAAUUUGCCUCUGCUGGAUGGUUUCAUAUUCACAGAUUCUAGUGGGGGGGUUGGAGCUGCAAGACGAGUGCUGGGCGCACAGAGGCCUGCUGGGUACUCGGAGCUACUGACUCACAUGGAGUCCUGGCAGGACGAAAAUCUCUGCACUGCAGUCUGGCCGAAGUAUCUCACCAGGACAGUGGGAGAAAUGUUUCUCUCAUCAGCCCCUUUGAGAGUGCACACACCAUCCCCUUGUCUUGUGGAGGCAAUCGAUCCUCACAGCACGAAGGCUGGUGCUCAGGGGGGCAGAUGGCUCAUGAGCUGGGAGAAGAAGCUGCGCUUAAUACUCUACUGCGCGUCGGGGGGCUGCAUUUCGUUCUCCGCUCUGCACGCGUGCUGGGUAAGAG
rnacentral:lncRNA from 1 species